CCUACGGGUGGCAGCAGUGGGGAAUAUUGCACAAUGGGGGAAACCUUGAUGCAGCAACGCCGCGUGAGCGAUGAAGGCCUUCGGGUCGUAAAGCUCCGUCCCAAGGGAAGAAUACUGACGGUACCUUAGGAGGAAGCCCCGGCUAACUACGCGCCAGCAGCCGCGGUAAUACGUAGGGGGCUAGCGUUAUCCGGAAUUACUGGGCGUAAAGGGUGCGUAGGCGGCCCUUCAAGUGAGAGGUGAAAGGUUACGGCUCAACCGAAGUAAGCCUUUGAAAAUGUCGGGCUAGAGUGCAGGUGAGGGAAGUGGAGCUGCAAAGGGAGCGGGGAAAUGCGUAUAUAUUGGGAGAACAACGAGUGGCGAAGGGGGCACCUGGGAGAGAACCAUGGGCAGAGACACAAAAUCGUGAGGGGGAAACAGGUGUAAAUACCCAUGUGGUC
rnacentral:rRNA from 1 species